AGUGAACGCUGGCGGUAGGCCUAACACAUGCAAGUCGAACGGCAGCACAGUAAGAGCUUGCUCUUACGGGUGGCGAGUGGCGGACGGGUGAGGAAUACAUCGGAAUCUACUUUUUCGUGGGGGAUAACGUAGGGAAACUUACGCUAAUACCGCAUACGACCUACGGGUGAAAUCAGGGGAUCUUCGGACCUUGCGCGAUUGAAUGAGCCGAUGUCGGAUUAGCUAGUUGGCGGGGUAAAGGCCCACCAAGGCGACGAUCCGUAGCUGGUCUGAGAGGAUGAUCAGCCACACUGGAACUGAGACACGGUCCAGACUCCUACGGGAGGCAGCAGUGGGGAAUAUUGGACAAUGGGCGCAAGCCUGAUCCAGCCAUACCGCGUGUGUGAAGAAGGCCUUCGGGUUGUAAAGCCCUUUUGUUGGGAAAGAAAAGCAGCAGGUUAAUACCCCGCUGUUCUGACGGUACCCAAAGAAUAAGCACCGGCUAACUUCGUG
rnacentral:rRNA from 1 species